GCGCGGUCUGCCUCCCGCGGCGGGCCGGGUCUCCAGGGAGGACCUGAGUUUUCUUCACCCAUUGUCAGGGAGGCGCCAUCGCCCUGGCUUUGGGGCUGGGGCCUCCGGGGAGGUUCCGGUAGGGGCGUUGGAGAGGCCGCUCUUUUUGCAAGGCCCGAGACGGCGGGCCCUGCGCAGGCCGCCCUAUUCCGCGCCCUCAGGGCGUCAGUAUCAGCCUGAGGCUGGAUACCCCCGCUGGGCCCGGAUGCCCCCGCUGGGCCCGGAGCAUCCUCCGGCGCUGCCCUCCCAGAGCCCCGCAGAGGCUGAGGUGGCGCGGGGGCGGCCCCGGCUCCGCGAGAAGCGGCGGCAGCGAGGGCUGGAGGACCCGGGCUGCGGGGCUCCGGGGCGUCUGGCCUGGGCGGGACUGAGCCCAUCCAGGGACUGGGACUCUGGGAUUCUGGUGUAGGUGGAUCCGGGGCAGGCUCAGGACCAAGUCCCUCUCCUUCCACCAAGGAGCGCCCAGAGGCCGGCGGGAGCUCCAGGUUCACCUCCUCCUCCUCCAGGAAAUCCCACUUCCAGCUAGAUGUCUGCAUGAACUACUGAAAGCUGCUGAGUGUCUUGCAGCAGGUGAGCUGUGGCCAGAGCUCAAGGAUGAAGGGGACUCCCUCACUCUGUGACUGUGAAGAGGAAGCCUGAGGUGUAGCAGGCCCAGGUCCCAGAAGUAUGGAAAAAAUGAGGUAGGGAGGGAGGGGACCUCAGGAGAAGACUGAGGUCUACAGAAUCCCAGGGUCAAGGGGAUGGUGCGGUGUCCGGGCACUGUCCUUGAUGUUCCAAGAGGGGUGAGAAUCCAUCUCCUGAGUAAAAACUUCACAUGGAGUGAGGAGGGGAGAAGUGAACAGAGAGGAAGCAGGGAAGGCCAAGACAGCGACCAGCCUCACAGCAAUUUUAACCAGAAAUGGACACAGACCCUGGACCCCAUCACAGGAGUGCAGGCCUAAGACUGUCUCCAGGUGAUGCAUAGCUCCCUUGUCAGGUUAGUGGGUGCAGGCAUUGUGACGUCUGCAGGGGUGUGGAAGGCUGGGCAAUGGGAGCAGCUUACUGGGCUGGACCAGAAAUACUGAACUUCUUUUCCAUCAGUGAAAUCCGCUUCUGGGUCAGAAAAAACUGCGAGUUCCAGAGGGGCAGGGCCUAGGAGGAGGUCAGGUCCUGAGCCCUCCUGGUUUGACCCCCUCCCCACCCCCUGUGUUUCUGGGUCUGUCCUCAGUUCCACCCAGCAGAUCCUGAGUCUCUUCCUUUGAGUCCCCGUGAGUGUGUUGUGUGCAGUGGGGCCGGGCUGCUUCAUCCACUGCACAUUAAAUGUUUCCAAUACUUUCCGGCCAAAGCUUAGAGUUGUCAGACCACUGAAUUUGAAUGUUGACCUGGUUCCUUGUGGAACAGAGUAAUAGCUAUUGAAGUUUAAAGUCACUUUCCUGCGUGGAUGGUGAAGAGGCAGGCUGUUCAGGCAUAGCUGUCCUCAGGCCUGGAGGGCUGUGGAGGUCACCGUGGGCGGUGGGUGGAUCCGGAAACUCUGUGGCUCUAGACUUUCAACUAUUUUAUUUUUUCUUUUGUAUUUUUUGUUUGUUGCUUGCUUUUUUACAAUGGGAACUAGAAUGUAAGAUGCCAAACUCAGCCUGUGGGGAACAUGGAUUUUCACAACAGCAACCACAGAGCGUGGUUUCCAUUUCUAUUCCCUGUUCAUGUGGGAGGGAGAGAAGGAAAUCAGGUGCUCAGUUCCAGGGACAUCACAGGACUAGGACAUGUGCAGUGAGGGUGGAAGGCAGAGGCAUUGCUUUAGGAGAAUAAAAUUACUGCAUGCACACACAUAUGUAUGUAUAUGGAUGUAUGUACACAAACAUGCAUAUUUAUAGAUUCUGUUCUCCCUCUCUCUAUUUAAUUUUCUUUAUUUCACACUUGAUAUGAUUUCUAAAUUUAAAUACCUUUGAGACAAAGGUGAAUUGUGAAGGGAUUUAAAAAUGUCAGUGAAAAAUGGAAUUAACAAUAAAAAUAUAAAUAUAAACUUUAUUUCUCAAUAUAAGCUCUAUUGAGGUCCAGACACUCCAUUAAGGGAUGAUCCCAGCCAUUCAGUCCAUUGCUAAACAACUGAGGGUAACGGGAAUUUAACCGUGUCAAUGCAGUCUUCUUUUACUAACUAAAGAAAAAUGAGUGCCCUUUACAGUUAUUUUAAGAUUAGGGAAAAAAAGGUCAGAAGAAAACAAAUCAGGACUGUAAUGUUGAUGCCUAAUAAUUUCCCAUGAAAACUCUUGCAAAAUUACCCAUGUUUGAUGAGAGGAAGGAACAGAAGUGUUGUUGUGGUGCAGAGGGACUCUCUAGUGAAGCUUUACAGGGCGCUUUUCUGCAAAAGUAUUUGCUAAUUUUCUCUAAGAACUCUCCUAGUAAGCAGAUGUUAUCGUGCUUUGAUCUUACAGAAAGUCAACAAGCAAAAUGCCUUGAGCAUCCCCAAAACCUCCAUGGCUUUAGCUUUUGAGAAGUUUGCUUUUGCUUUGACUGGACCACUUCUACCUCUUGGUAGCCAUUGCUUGAAUUGUGCUUUGUCUUCAGGAUCUUAUUGAUAAAGCCAGUUUCACUCCCUGUUAUAAUUCUUCAAAACAAUGCUUCAGGAUCUUGAUUCCGCUUGCUCAAAAUAGUCACUAAUAGCUCUGCUUUUGUCCACUGCUCAUCUAGGCACAAGGGUAUUUGGGACUCAUCAAAUGUAAAGUUUCUCAACUUUCACGUUAUAGUCAGUAUUGUGUAACCUGAACCAAUUGAGAUGUCUGUGGUGUUGGCUGUAAUAUCUCUUGUUAAUUGUCAAUCCUCCUCAAUUAGGGCAUAGAAACGAUUUUUUUUUUCCUCAAAAAUUGGUAUGGAUGUCCCUCCUCUGUUGACUUCAUCUUCAACAUUGUAUUAUCUCUUCUUAGAAUAAGGUAUCCAUUUGUAAAUGACUGAUUCUUCAGGUCAUUUUUCCCAUAGACUUUUCAUAAAGAAUAAUUUAUUUCACCAUUUUUUGUACCCCAGCUUCACCGUAAAUUUGAUGUUUGUUCUUGCUUCAGGUUUGACAGAAUUCAUGUUGCUGCCAUAGAGGGGCUCUUUUCAAACUGAUGUCUUAAAUCUUGUUCAGGUAUGUUAAAACAGGGCCAGGCACGGUGGCUCACGCCUGUAAUCCCUGCAUUUUGGAAGGUUAGAAUAAAGUUUUUUAAAACUUUAUUUUAUUUCAUUUUAAGUUCUGGGCUACAUGUGCAGGAUGUGCAGGUUUGUUACAUAGGUAAAUGUGUGCCAUGGUGGUUUGCUGUACCUAUCAACCCAUCACCUAGGUAUUAAGCCCACAUGCAUUAGCUAUUUAUCCUGAUGCACUCCCUCCCCACUCACUCCCAGACAGGUUCCAGUGUGUGUUGUUCCCCUCCCUGUGUCUGUGUUCUCUCAUUGUUCAUCUCCCACUUAUAAGUGAGAACAUGUGUAUUUGGUUUUCUGUUCCUGCAUUAGUUUGCUGAGAAUAAUGACUUCCAGCUUCAUCCAUGUCCCUGCAAAGGACAUGAUCUCAUUCCUUUUUAUGGCUGCAUAGUAUUCCAUGGUGUAUAUGUAUCACAGUUUCUUUAUCCAGUCUAUCAUUGAUGGGCAUUUGGGUUGGUUCUAUGUCUUUGCUAUUGUGAAUAGUGCUAUAAUGAACAUACGCAUGCAUGUAUCUUUAUAAUACAAGAAUUUAUAUUCCUUUGGGCAUAUACUCUGUAAUGGGAUUGCUGGGUCAAAUGGUAUUUCUGAUUCUAGGUCUUUGAAAAAUCACCACAGUCUUCCACAGUGGUUGAACUAACUUACAUUCGCACCAACAGUGUAAAAGUGUUCCUAUUUCCCCACAGUCUCACCAGCAUCUGUUGUCUUUUGACUUUUUAAUAAUCACCAUUCUGACUGGCAUGAGACGGUAUCUCACUGUGGUUUUGAUUUGUAUUUCUCUAAUGAUCAGUAAUGUUGGGCAUUUUUUUCAUGUUUGUUGGCUGCAUAAAUGUCUUCUUUUGAGAAGUGUCUGUUCAUGUCCUUUGCUCACUUUUGAAAUUUUUAAAUUUUUAUUUUUUAAGACAGAGUCUUGCUCUGUCACUCAGGGUGGAGUUCAGUGACACAAUUUCGGGUCACUGCAACCUCUGCCUCCCAGACUCAGGUGAUUCUUCUCUCUCAGGCUCCUGAGUAGUUGGGAUUACAGGCCCGCACCACUACAUCCGGCUAAUUUAUUGUAUUUUCAGUAGAGACGUGGUUUCACCAGCUUGGCCAGGCUGAUCUUGAACUCCUGGCCUCAAGUUAUCUGCCCACUUCACCCUCCCAAACUGCUGGGAUUACAGGCAUGAGCCACUGUACCCUGGUUUUCCCCACUUUUAUAUGGGGUUGGGUUUUUUACAGUUUUGGGUUUUACAUUUAAGUCUUUCAUCCAUUUUCAGUUCAUUUUUGUAUAAGGUAUAAGGAAGGGGUACAGUUUCAGUUUUCUGCAUAUGUCUAGCCAGUUUUUCAAACACCAUUUAUUAUUAAAUAGGGAAUCCUUUCCCCAUUGCUUGUUUUCAUCAAAAAUAAAAUGGUUGUAGAUGUGCAAUCUUAUUUCUGAUAUAUCUAUUCCAUUCCAUUGGUCUAUGUGUCUGUUUUGUACCACUACCAUGCUGUUGGGUUACUGUAGCCUUGUAAUAUAGUUUGAAGUUAGGUAGCAUGAUGCCUCUAACUUUGUUAUUUUAGCUUAGGAUUGUCCUGGGUAUAUGGGCUCUUUUUUCAUUCCAUAUGAAUUUUGAGGUAGUUUUUUCUAAUUUUGUAAUGAAUGUCCAUGGUAGUUUAUGGGAAUAGCAUUGAAUCUAUGAAUUAAUUUGGGAA
rnacentral:lncRNA from 1 species